UACGUAGGGUGCGAGCGUUAAUCGGAAUUACUGGGCGUAAAGCGUGCGCAGGCGGUUCGUUAAGUUCGAUGUGAAAGCCCUGGGCUCAACCUGGGAAUUGCAGUGGAUACUGGCGAGCUAGAGUGCGGUAGAGGAUGGUGGAAUUCCCGGUGUAGCGGUGAAAUGCGUAGAGAUCGGGAGGAACACCCGUGGCGAAGGCGGCCAUCUGGACCAGCACUGACGCUGAGGCACGAAAGCGUGGGGAGCAAACAGGG
rnacentral:rRNA from 1 species